GUGUUUUUUUGUACAGGUAUUUUGAAAGAGUGCAGUUCCAGGACUUUUCAUCAGAUGUCACUUUUAUUAGCCCUGACGUCACCCAGUUCAUCAAGUACAGCCAAGGAGAUGACCUGGCACCAUUUCUUGAACCACUGGAGCUCUCCUCCAAAAAAUUAGUUUUCCUGGCUGUCAAUGAUAACGCCAACCUAGAGUCUGCUGGUGGCUCUCACUGGAGUUUACUACUGUACAGACGAGAUGUUGCAGAAUUUCAACAUUACGAUUCCGCUCAGGGAAGUGGCAAUUCAGCUCCAGCAAAACUCCUGGUUAAAAGAGUUCAGCCUUUCCUAGGACAAUCAUCGAAAAUUACCGUUAAGGAGGUGGAUGCUUCACAUCAGCAAAACAGUUAUGACUGUGGAGUCUAUGUCAUCAGUAACACUGAACACCUGUGUAGACAGUUACUACAGGGGGACAGCAGUGAUAUCAAGGAGGCUGUCACCAGUACAAGCGUCAAACAAAAAAGAACACAACUUCAGGAACUUAUAAGCUCCUUAGGGAAAUCUUAGUGUCUUAGAUUUUUCAAUAUCUGCUUUCUCUCUGAAAGAAAAACCAACAUAUAAUACAAUGGACAUUUUUAGUCCAGUGUAUACAAGUACCAUACUUGGUAGUAAGAUAGAUGUAGUGAAAGCAACAUAGCAACAAUGGAAUGCAAAUGUAGUUCUGCCUCCUUGGUUUAACUUUGUCAGCUUGUCA